rnacentral:rRNA from 1 species
UACGUAGGGGGCAAGCGUUGUCCGGAAUCAUUGGGCGUAAAGAGUGUGUAGGCGGCCCGAUAAGUCCGCUGUGAAAGUCCAGGGCUCAACCCUGGGAUGCCGGUGGAUACUGUCGGGCUCGAGUCCGGAAGAGGAGUGUGGAAUUCCGUGGUGUAGCGGUGAAAUGCGCAGAUAUCAGGAGGAACACCAAUGGCGAAGGCAGCACUCUGGGACGUGACUGACGCUGAGGAGCGAAAGCGUGGGGAGCGAACAGG